rnacentral:rRNA from 1 species
UACAUGUGGGGCAAGCGUUGUUCGGAAUUACUGGGCGUAAAGCGUGCGUAGGUGGUUUGUUAAGUCUGUUGUGAAAGCCCCGGGCUCAACCUGGGAAUGGCAAUGGAUACUGGCAAGCUAGAGUGCGGUAGAGGGUAGUGGAAUUCCCGGUGUAGCGGUGAAAUGCGUAGAGAUCGGGAGGAACACCAGUGGCGAAGGCGGCUACCUGGACCAGCACUGACACUGAGGCACGAAAGCGUGGGGAGCAAACAGG